rnacentral:rRNA from 1 species
AACGAACGCUGGCGGCAGGCUUAACACAUGCAAGUCGAACGCCCCGCAAGGGGAGUGGCAGACGGGUGAGUAACGCGUGGGAAUCUACCCAGUUCUACGGAACAACACAGGGAAACUUGUGCUAAUACCGUAUACGCCCUACGGGGAAAGAUUUAUCGGAAUUGGAUGAGCCCGCGUAAGAUUAGCUAGUUGGUGGGGUA